UCAGUUCUGUUUCCUUGGCUGAGCCGAUGCAAGUCCCGAUGCGUGGCCACGAGAAAAUGAACGAAUCUUUUUUUGAGAGGACUCGUUACUCUCGAGUCCUCGUAAGGAUUCGCUCAAAAUGAACGAAUCGUUCACGAACGACACAUCACUAACGGCCAUCACUGGAACACCUGCGGCCCAUUCGGGCAGGUGCCCCCGUUAAAUGUUCAGUUUUCAAGUUAUUCAGAGCACUACACUUUAUUUUUAUUUAACACAAGGAUAAUACAUAUAGACUGUAAAACCUACCAGCUCAUCUUAAUAAAAGAGUUUCCAGUUGCCGAGGGAGCUGGCGCAGAUUUGUGGCUAACAGGCAGCUUCAAGGCUGCGUCGAGGCAAAGGGAAGAGAGGUCGUAAGACAGUGCCCCUUUCCUUGGUGAAUUUGGUCCGGCCGCCCCUCUGCCUGUCCUCCACGUCCCCUGGAUGUCCGGUUACCCCGGCGACUACGUGCCGCGUCCAAACAUCCUGCUCAACGUGCCGGGGUUUCACCCCGUGCCCGCUGGGCUUUACAGCUACGGCCCCCGCGGGCCCCCGGCGUUCCUCCACUACCCGCCUCCACCGCGGCCUGGGGCCGCUGCUGUGAUCCUCUGUGCACGCCGUAGGCCACCUCUAUUUAGCGUGAUUAAAAAAUAAUAUGCAUCCAUUUGUUGAAUACAUCAGGAUUGCAGACUGAUCUUCUUCGUCCUUCUGCCACGCCCAGAGCCGCCCCGGGAGCCGCCGCCGCCGCCGCCUCCCUCCGAACACACUGAGCCAGACGUGGAAGUGGAUUAAAGCAGCCAGCUGGUUCACAGUUUGUUAUCGAAUCUGUUCGUUUUCCCCUUCUGUUUUGUACCGAUGACAGUUCUGUUCACACUGAUGGCAUAAAUGUUUCUGCACAGUUUGUUUGUGCAAUAUAUCGAUAUUAAAUAAGGCUUUGACAUUAAAAAAAUAAGUCCGUUAUGGUUCUUAUUUUGUAUGUGUUAUUUUACUCCACAAAGAAAAAUAAAAUAUCUUUUC
ensembl:lncRNA